AAAGAAGGGAACUACGUUGAUUGUGUUCAUCUCAAUGUUAUUUCUUUACAUUCACUUUUGAUGAGAAGUUCCAGCUAAGUUGGGUGAUGCUGAGCUUCUGAACAGGCUGUUCUAACUUUACCUCAGUAUCUUUCCUGGGGUUGAUACUGGAGAAGAAAUAUUGAAUUAAUUGCAUUUAAAGUUAUUUUUACUUUGUUUCCUGGAUUUUUUCACUGCAGGUUCUAAUUAGGAUAGCUAGAAAACUGGCUAAAAAGGGAAUGAGAGAACAUGAAGACCAAAAGGACUGUUGUGGGAUAUUUUCCUAUCCUUCUUACCCUUACCAUAAAACAAGAUCUGUUAACCAAGCUUGGAAGGAGCAUGCAGUUCAAAGGUCAAAUGUAUGAAAGCAAAGCCUGCUUGAUAUACCAAGAGCUCUUUGUAAAUUUGAUUCUAACUGAGAAGCUAUAGAGCUGUGAAGGGGUGAAGGGCAGAGGAGAUAGUGCAGCACCCGCUGAAACGCUUCCAUUUUGUUUUCUGAGCUACUGCCACAAGGAAAGACUGCCUUCUGUGCUGAUGACAGAUCUGCCCUUCUGUUAUCAGACACUGCUCUUUUGCUAUCUCAGUUUCAUAACAAUUACCUCUGCCUGAGAGCUAUGGAUCAGCCACAUUGGGCAAAGCAGUCCUCUGAGAAAGAGAAUGAUGGAUGACAGAGUGAUUCCCUUCAACAUGACUGGGGCACUGAGGUUGUAUCAAUUUUUUCUCUCUCCUUAUAACUCCUCCCUUUCCCUGCUCUGCAUUCUUAACGUGAAUCACAAUAUUUCUGCAUGAACAGCAUGCACACGUGUAACUUUAAAAAAUUUAUGGCACUGCUGUCUGCCACAUUUGUUGAAAUUGUCAGGAAAGUAAUGAUUGCUACAGGUGGCAGAGGCUGCUGGAUGAACAUCAUAAGGUAUACAGGGAGAAAAACUGACUACCUUUGCCAAUUUUCAAGUAUUUACACCAGUACUACUGCUUCUUUUUUUCCCCGUAAUGCUCACAUGUCAUUUGCUACAGCUCAUGUACUGACCUUCUGCAUCUGCCCCAAAAGGGAGCAGGCCUGGUGUUCAUACUGCGCCGUGUUUCUGCUCGACCCUAGGGUUGAGUUUGCAGUGACACAAUUUUACUGGCACAGAAUUUGGAAGAUGUUGUACCAGAACUAAACAAAGUGUGUCUGGAAGCAUCUUGUCCUAAAAAGCAUGUGCAGGCAGUACAGAUUUCCUUAUAGAGAUGGGUUCAUGUGACUGGCUCUCAGCUGUAUUGAAAAUCAGCUUUGUAUUCAUGUCCUUCCCUGAAAUACUCUCAUAGUUGAUUUAAGCAGUCUUUAGCUGAGAUCAUAUUUCUAGUUUGGGAUUCCCUUCAUACAUCUUUCAUUAAGACAGGGAUUCUCUGCAGUCAGAGACCAGCACCACAGAACAGCUGGAUCCAUUUUGGCUUGACAAGGGGCAUUGGGCAUUUUUUUAUACAUAUAUUUAU
rnacentral:lncRNA from 1 species